rnacentral:rRNA from 1 species
AGGUUAAGUUAGGAAGGGCGCACGGUGGAUGCCUUGGCACUAGGAGCCGAAGAAGGACGGGACUAACACCGAUAUGCUUUGGGGAGCUGUACGUAAGCGUUGAUCCAGAGAUUUCCGAAUGGGGGAACCCACUAUCUUUAGU